CUGGACUUGAAUUGAACCCUUAGCAAUAUAGUCCCCUAUCUUUUGUAUAUCAUGGCAAUGACAUCAAACCGCUAUCGUACCUCUCCCAACAUACCCAAUGGAAACAUUUCAUAAAAACCCUUUGUUUACCUAAUCUCUACACUUAUUCCUUUGCUUUACCUUCCCUAUCAAACAGUGAAUCAACACCUCGAUAGUAGACAGCUAUCAAACGGAGUUGGUCACCAUUUCUCACACUUCAAC